AUUGAACGCUGGCGGCAGGCUUAACACAUGCAAGUCGAGCGGGGGGAGGUAGCUUGCUACCGGACCUAGCGGCGGACGGGUGAGUAAUGCUUAGGAAUCUGCCUAUUAGUGGGGGACAACAUCUCGAAAGGGAUGCUAAUACCGCAUACGUCCUACGGGAGAAAGCAGGGGAUCUUCGGACCGUGCGCUAAUAGAUGAGCCUAAGGCGGAUUAGCUAGUUGGGGGGGUAAAGGCCUACCAAGGCGACGAUCUGUAGCGGGACUGAGAGGAUGAUCCGCCACACUGGGACUGAGACACGGCCCAGACUCCUACGGGAGGCAGCAGUGGGGAAUAUUGGACAAUGGGGGGAACCCUGAUCCAGCCAUGCCGCGUGUGUGAAGAAGGCCUUAUGGUUGUAAGGCACUUUAAGCGAGGAGGAGGCUACUCUAGUUAAUACCUAGGGAUAGUGGACGUUACUCGCAGAAUAAGCACCGGCUAACUCUGUGCCAGCCGCCGCCGUAAAAC
rnacentral:rRNA from 1 species